AUUCUCUCUUUGGCAGCACAUAUACUAAAAUUGGAAAGAUAUAGAGAUUAGCAUUGCCCCUGUGAAAGGAUGACACAUAAAUUUGUGAUGCAUUCCAUAUUUUU